GGAGGGAAGGGGUUUUUCCGGGAAAUUAAUUGGGGCGCUGGAAGCGCGCGCAGGCUGGAUCUCUUAAGAUCUGCCAUGUGAAAGCCCCCGGCUCAACCGGGGAGGGUCAUCUCGAAACUGGGAGACUUGAGUGCAGGAGAGAAGAGUGGAAUUCCACGUGUAGCGGUGAAAUGCGUAGAAGAUGUGGAGGAAACACCAGUGGCGAAGGCGACUCUUUGGCCUGUAACUGACACUGAGGCGCGAAAGCGUGGGGAGCAAACAGGAUUAGAUACCCGGGUAGUCCCACGCCCGUAAAC
rnacentral:rRNA from 1 species